UACGUAGGGUGCGAGCGUUAAUCGGAAUUACUGGGCGUAAAGCGUGCGCAGGCGGCUUCGCAAGUCAGACGUGAAAUCCCCCGGGCUUAACCUGGGAAUUGCGUCCGAAACUAUGGAGCUGGAGUGUGGCAGAGGGAGGUGGAAUUCCACGUGUAGCGGUGAAAUGCGUAGAGAUGUGGAGGAACACCGAUGGCGAAGGCAGCCUCCUGGGCCAACACUGACGCUCAUGCACGAAGCGUGGGAGCAAACAGG
rnacentral:rRNA from 1 species